rnacentral:rRNA from 1 species
CAGUUCGGACUGUAGUCUGCAACCCGACUACACGAAGCUGGAAUCGCUAGUAAUCGCAAAUCAGAAUGUUGCGGUGAAUACGUUCCCGGGUCUUGUACACACCGCCCGUCACACCAUGGGAGUCGGGAAUGCCCGAAGCCGGUGACCGAACCGAAAGGACGGAGCCGUCGAAGGCAGGUCUGAUAACUGGGGUGAAGUCGUAACAAGGUACC